rnacentral:misc_RNA from 1 species
CGGUUGCCUGUGCGGUCUUACCAUUGUUGGUAGUUCAAUUGUCCCUCUUUUUGGUAUUAUAUGCUUGGCCCGUGAUGCUAUGCAUCAAUGGGCAGCCGAGGUGUUGGCAAAUUCCAUGUGCUAUGAUGCACUUUGUGUAUCAGAUAUUGCUUAUUGGAUGUUUGUCUGGUCUCACGGAUAUCAGUCCCUAUGUUGUUGAGUGGUCUGUGGGCUUUAAGCGUGCAGGCUGCUGGUGUUGNUCGUACAAAUAUUUGUUGCUGAUGGUUAGUUGACAUAUUGUUUUCCUUUGGGAUUCAUGUGUUGAUGAAUCAUCAUCAACAAAUUUGUGAGCGUGUGCAUAUCCUUACGACUCGAAUGAUGUGCGAUUGCCGGUAUGCAUUGUCACGGGGUG